rnacentral:rRNA from 1 species
GACGAACGCUGGCGGCGUGCUUAACACAUGCAAGUCGAACGGAAAGUCCCUGCUUUUUUUGGGUGCUCGAGUGGCGAACGGGUGAGUAACACGUAAGUAACCUGCCCUUGACUUUGGGAUAACUUCAGGAAACUGGGGCUAAUACCGGAUAGCAGCUCCUGCUGCCUGGUGAGGGUUGGAAAGUCUCGGCGGGUGGCGAUGGACUCGCGGCUUGUCUGCCUGUUGGUGGGGGAGUGGCUUACCCAGGCUUUGACGGGCAGCCGGCCUGAGAGGGUGACCGGCGAUACGGGGACGGCGACACGGGCCAGAAGCAUAAGGGAGGCAGCGGUGGGGGAUAUUGGACUAUGCGAGGAAGCCCGAGGGAAGAAAGAAGCGUGCGGGAGUACGGAACUGGGUUUGUAUGCGGCUUUAGCACGUGAGGGAGGGGAAGUGACGGUAACGGGUAAAGAAGCCACGGCUAACUACGUG